rnacentral:rRNA from 1 species
GAUGAACGCUGGCGGCGUGCCUAACACAUGCAAGUCGAACGCUCCUUCGGGAGAGUGGCGCACGGGUGAGUAACACGUAGCUAACCUGCCCUCAAGACAGGGAUAACUGUAGGAAACUACCGCUAAUACCUGAUAAGCUUACAGGCUGUAGAGGCCGAUAAGAAAAGCGUAUGCGCUUGAGGAUGGGGCUGCGAGCCAUCAGCUCGUUGGUGAGGUAAAGGCUUACCAAGGCGACGACGGCUAGGGGACCUGAGAGGGUGACCCCCCACACUGGAACUGAGAUACGGUCCAGACUCCUACGGGAGGCAGCAGUGAGGAAUAUUGCUCAAUGGGCGCAAGCCUGAAGCAGCGACGCCGCGUGGAUGAAGAAGGUUUUCGGACUGUAAAAUCCUUUUCUGUGUGACGAGAGUGGACGGUAGCACAGGAAUAAGUCUCGGCUAACUACGUGC